GACGAACGCUGGCGGCGCGCUUAACACAUGCAAGUCGAACGAUGAACCCGGAGCUUGCUCUGGGGGAUUAGUGGCGAACGGGUGAGUAACACGUGAGUAACCUGCCCUGGACUCUGGGAUAAGCGUUGGAAACGACGUCUAAUACCGGAUAGGACCUUGGAUCGCAUGAUCUGGGGUGGAAAGUUUUUUCGGUCUGGGAUGGACUCGCGGCCUAUCAGCUUGUUGGUGAGGUAAUGGCUCACCAAGGCGUCGACGGGUAGCCGGCCUGAGAGGGUGACCGGCCACACUGGGACUGAGACACGGCCCAGACUCCUACGGGAGGCAGCAGUGGGGAAUAUUGCACAAUGGGCGAAAGCCUGAUGCAGCAACGCCGCGUGCGGGAUGACGGCCUUCGGGUUGUAAACCGCUUUUAGUAGGGAAGAAGGGCUUCGGCUUGACGGUACCUGCAGAAAAAGGACCGGCUAACUACGUG
rnacentral:rRNA from 1 species